UACGUAGGGGGCGAGCGUUGUCCGGAGUUACUGGGCGUAAAGGGCGUGCAGGCGGUGCAGUAAGUUUGGAGUGACAGUACCCGGCUUAACUGGGUAAGGACUUUGAAAACUGCUGGACUUGAGGGCCAGAGAGGGACAUAGAAUUCCGGGUGGAGUGGUGAAAUGCGUUGAUAUCCGGAGGAAUACCAAAGGCGAAGGCAGUGUCCUGGCUGGCAUCUGACGCUGAGGCGCGAAAGCUAGGGGAGCGAACAGG
rnacentral:rRNA from 1 species